rnacentral:rRNA from 1 species
UACGGGGGGGGCAAGCGUUGUUCGGAAUUACUGGGCGUAAAGGGCUUGUAGGUGGCCAACUAAGUCAGACGUGAAAUCCCUCGGCUUAACCGGGGAACUGCGUCUGAUACUGGAUGGCUCGAGUGUGGGAGAGGGAUGCGGAAUUCCAGGUGUAGCGGUGAAAUGCGUAGAUAUCGGGAAGAACACCUAUGGCGAAGGCAGCUCUCUGGGACGGUACUGACGCUGAGACGCGAAAGCGUGGGGAGCGAACAGG